rnacentral:rRNA from 1 species
GGUUAAGCGACGCUAAGCGUACCUGGUGGAUGCCCUGGCAGUCAGAGGCGAUGAAGGACGUGCUAAUCUGCGAUAAGCGUCGGUAAGGUGAUAUGAACCGUUAUAACCGGCGAUUUCCGAAUGGGGAAACCCAGUGUGAUUCGUCACACUAUCAUUAACUGAAUCCAUAGGUUAAUGAGGCGAACCGGGGGAACUGAAACAUCUAAGUACCCCGAGGAAAAGAAAUCAACCGAGAUUCCCCCAGUAGCGGCGAGCGAACGGGGAGCAGCCCAGAGCCUGAAUCAGUGUGUGUUUAAUUGGAAGCGUCUGGAAGGCGCGCGAUACGGGGUGACGGCCCGGCUACAAAAAUGCAUAUACUGUGACUCGAUGGUGGGGCGGACCACAUGCAGUAUCACUGUCCGAUCUGGGGAUAUCCUCAGGCUAAAUACUCCUGACUGACCGAUAGUAGACCCAGUACCGUGAGGAAAGGCGAAAAGAACCCCGGCGAGGGAGUGAAGAACCUGAAACCGUGUACGUACAAGCAGUGGGAGCCUCUUUUAUGGGGUGACUGCGUGCCUUUGUAUAAUGGGUCAGCGACUUAUAUUCUGUAGCAAGGUUAACCGAAUAGGGGAGCCGAAGGAAACCGAGUCUUAACUGGGCGUUAAGUUGCAGGGUAUAGACCCGAAAACCCGGUGAUCUAGCCAUGGGCAGGUUGAAGGUUGGGUAACACUAACUGGAGGACCGAACCAUUAAUGUUGAAAAAUUAGCGGAUGACUUGUGGCUGGGGUGAAAGGCCAAUCAAACCGGGAGAUAGCUGGUUCUCCCCGAAAGCUAUUUAGGUAGCGCCUCGUGAAUUCAUCUCCGGGGGUAGAGCACUGUUUCCGGCAAGGGGGUCAUCCCGACUUACCAACCCGAUGCAAACUGCGAAUACCGGAGAAUGUUAUCACGGGAGACACGGCAGGUGCUAACGUCCGUCGUGAAGGAAACAACCCAGACCGCCAGCUAAGGUCCCAAAGUCAUGGUUAAGUGGGAAACGAUGUGGGAAGGCCCAGACAGCCAGGAUAUUUGGCAGUAAUAUCAUUUAAAGAAAGCGUAAUAGCUCACUGGUCAGUCGGCCUGCGCGGAAGAUGUAACGGGGCUAAACCAUGCACCGAAGCUGCGGCAGCGACGCUUAUGCGUUGUUGGGUAGAGAGCAAUUCUAUGCAGCCUGUGAAGGUGUGCUGUGGAGCAUCACUGCUGGAGGUAUCAAGUGCGAGGAAUGCUGACAUAAGUAACGAUAAAGCGGGUGAAAAAGUCCGCUCCGCCGGAAGACCAAGGGUUCCUGUCCAACGUUAAUCAGGGCAGGGUGAGUCGACCUAAAGGCGAGGCCGAAAGGCGUAGUCGAUGGGAAACAGGUUAAUGUUCCUGUGCCCGGUGUUACUGCGAAGGGGGACGGAGAAGGCUAUGUUGGCCGGGCGACGGUUGUCCCGGUUUAAGCGUGUGAGCUGGUUUUCCAGGCAAAUCCGGAAAAUCAAGGCUGAGGCGUGAUGACGAGGCACUACGGUGCUGAAGCAACCGUGCCUGCUUCCAGGAAAAGCCUCUAAGCAUCAGGUAACAUCAAAUCGUACCCCAAACCGACACAGGUGGUCAGGUAAGAAUACAAGGCGCUUGAGAGAACUCGGGUGAAGGAACUAGGCAAAAUGGUGCCGUAACUUCGGGAGAAGACGCGUGAUAUGUAGGUGAAGUCCCUUGCGGAUGGAGCUGAAAUCAGUCGAAGAUACCAACUGGCUGCAACUGUUUAUUAAAAACACAGCACUGUGCAAACACGAAAGUGGACGUAUACGGUGUGACGCCUGCCCGGUGCCGGAAGGUUAAUUGAUGGGGUUAGCGUAACGCGAAGCUCUUGAUCGAAGCCCCGGUAAACGGCGGCCGUAACUAUAACGGUCCUAAAGGUGGCGAAAUUCCUUGUCGGGUAAGUUCCGACCUGCACGAAUGGCGUAAUGAUGGCGGGCUGUCUCACCCGGGGACUCAGUGAAAUUCAGAACUCGAAGAUACGGUACCUGCCCGGCAAGACGGAAAGGGCGUGAACCUUUACUAUGGCUUGACACUGAACAUUGAGCCUUGAUGUGUAGGAUAGGUGGGGGAGGCUUUGAAGUGUGGACGCCAGUCUGCAUGGAGCCGACCUUGAAGCUCACCCCUUUAAUGUUUGAUGUUCUAACGUUGGCCCCUGAUCAGGGUUGCGGACAGUGUGGGUAUUAGUUUGACUGGGGCGGUCUCCUCUAAAGAGUAACGGAGGAGCACGAAGGUUGGCUAAUCCUGGUCGGACAUCAGGAGGUUAGUGCAAUGGCAUAGCCAACAUUGCGAGCGUGACGGCGCGAGCAGGUGCGAAGCGGGUCAUAAUUGAUCCGGUGGUUCUGAAUGGAAGGGCCAUCGCUCAACGGAUAAAGGUACUCCGGGGAUAACAGGCUGAUACCGCCCAAGAGUUCAUAUCGACAGCGGUCGUGCGCUCGAUGUCGGCUCAUCACAUCCUGGGGCUGAAACAGGUCCCAAGGGUAUGGCUGUUCGCCAUUUAAAGUGGUACGCGAGCUGGGUUUAAGAACGUGUGAGACAGUUCAGUCCCUAUCUGCCGUGGGCGCUGGAGAACUGAGGGGGGCUGCUCCUAAUGCAGGGACCGGAGUGGACACAUCACUGGUGUUCAGGUUGUCAUGCCAAUGGCACUGCCCGGUGUAAAUGCGGAAGAGAUAAGUGCUGAAAGCAUCUAAGCACAAAAACUUGCCCCGAGAUGAGUUCUCCCUGAUAGCCCGGUCCUGAAGGAACGUUGAAGACGACGACGUUGAUAGGCCGGGUGUGUAAGCGCAGCGAUGCGUUGAGCUAACCGGUACUAAUGAACCGUGAAGGCUUAACGCA